CUUGCACACGGAGACGCAGGAAGAGGACAAGGACAGUGGGCAUAAACAUGUGUUACUAAACAACCAGUGAUUGUGGAACCGAACCUGCUGGACCAGAACUGAACCUGCCAGACUGGGACAACCCUGCCAUUGUGAAACUAAACCUGCAAGAACAAGGCAACCCAGUGGUUGUUGAACCAAACCUGUCGGACCAGAACAACCCCAUGGUUGCAGAACCUGACCCACCAGACCGGAUCAACCCCACAUUUGCGAAACUGAACUUGCUUGACCGGAACAACCCUGCGGUUGUGGAACUUUCAAGUACAAAAACAGUAUUUUUUUGAUAAAUUGAUAAAUUGAGUCAUGGUGAAAAACAAAGAGCUAUACAACAUGAAGACUUGGCUGUUCUUAUUUUUGACUUUGUCUUGUGUAACUGAUGUGGGUUCAAAUAACCAACUGCUGCUACAGUUC